rnacentral:rRNA from 1 species
UACGGAAGGGGCAAGCGUUGUUCGGAAUCAUUGGGCGUAAAGCGCGCGUAGGUGGCCCUGUAAGUCCGUUGUGAAAGUCAAAGGCUCAACCUUUGAAAGCCGAUGGAUACUGCAGGGCUAGAGUACGGAAGAGGCGAGUGGAAUUCCUGGUGUAGCGGUGGAAUGCGCAGAUAUCAGGAGGAACACCAAUAGCGAAGGCAGCUCGCUGGGACGUUACUGACACUGAGGCGCGAAAGCGUGGGGAGCGAACAGG